rnacentral:rRNA from 1 species
ACGCUCGACACCUACGGGAGGCAGCAGUGGGGAAUAUUGCACAAUGGGGGAAACCCUGAUGCAGCAACGCCGCGUGAGUGAAGAAGUAUUUCGGUAUGUAAAGCUCUAUCAGCAGGGAAGAUAAUGACGGUACCUGACUAAGAAGCUCCGGCUAAAUACGUGCCAGCAGCCGCGGUAAUCUGAGGCGGGCUGGCAAGGC